rnacentral:rRNA from 1 species
GACGAACGCUGGCGGCGUGCUUAACACAUGCAAGUCGAACGGUAAGGCCCUUUCGGGGGUGCACGAGUGGCGAACGGGGGAGUAACACGAGAAUAACCUGCCCACACCUUUGGGAUAACGCGAGGAAACUGGUGCUAAUACGGGUAAUAUGCGCCUGCUGGGGGGUGGGGGAUGGAGGGCUCGGGCGGGUUUGGAUGUCGGUGGGGGCUAGGCUCGCGGUCGAUGGGCUGGUUGCUGGGGUGGUGGCCUCCCAAGGCGGGGACGGGUAGCCGGCCGGAGAGGGUGAUCGGCCACAUUGGGACUGAGAUACGGCCCCGACUCCUACGGGAGACGGAAGUGGGGAAUAUUGCUCAAUGGGCGCCAGCCUGAUGCAGCAACGCCCCGUGCGGUAGUACGGCCUUCGGGUUGUAAAACGCUUUCAGCCGGGACGAAGCGUGUUGUGACGGUACCUGCAGAAGAAGCACCGGCUAACUACGUG